UAGGGAAUCUUCGGCAAUGGACGGAAGUCUGACCGAGCAACGCCGCGUGAGCGAAGAAGGUUUUCGGAUCGUAAAGCUCUGUUGUUAGAGAAGAACGUUGGUAGGAGUGGAAAAUCUACCAAGUGACGGUAACUAACCAGAAAGGGACGGCUAACUACGUGCCAGCCGCCGCGGUAAUACGUAGGUCCCGAGCGUUGUCCGGAUUUAUUGGGCGUAAAGCGAGCGCAGGCGGUUCUUUAAGUCUGAAGUUAAAGGCAGUGGCUUAACCAUUGUACGCUUUGGAAACUGGAGGACUUGAGUGCAGAAGGGGAGAGUGGAAUUCCAUGUGUAGCGGUGAAAUGCGUAGAUAUAUGGAGGAACACCGGUGGCGAAAGCGGCUCUCGGGUCUGUAACUGACGCUGAGGCUCGAAAGCGUAGGGAGCAAACAGG
rnacentral:rRNA from 1 species